rnacentral:rRNA from 1 species
AUGUCCAGCCGCCCCUCCUCUCCUCACACAGAGCGGCGCAGCUCCAACCUUGAAGAUCAACCGGCAGGGAGGACGGCGGCAGACGGCCGCGCGACGCGACCACAUCCAGGCGGCGGGCAGGAACCACCGGCAAGCUGGAGCAUCUACCGUCGACCAGCUAGCCACCAAGCCCCAGCGGCAUCCAUCUGCCGCAAGUCUCUUCAGAUGGAUGAUCAAGGCAGGAUGAUAGACUUUGGUAUUCAAGGCCAUGAGUUCAGUCAAAGGACUACAAUACCUUGUCCAAAUAUUGGUCACCAUCAGGACAAUGGACUUGAUGACCUGGAGUUUACUCAAGGAGCUACAGGACACCAAACAAAUAUUGGUCAGGACAAUGGACUUGAUGACUUGGAGUUCAGUCAAAGGAUCAUAGGACGCCGUCCUAAUUUUGGUACGCUGCAGCGUUGUGAUGACCUCGACUUUGACCAAAGGAGUGCAAGGCAGCAUGAGGAUAGUGUUUCAAAGUCCAAGAAGAGUCUUCCUAGAGCCAAGUGGAGUCACCAAAUGAAGCUAUAUCUUAUUCAACAGCUGAAAGAUUUUAAUGUCCCAGGUUAUAGAACUCAGAAUGCAUGGAGUAAAGAGGCAUGGAAUAAGAUUGUGGAUAACAUAAACAAAAAGUUUGGCUUGUCACUAGAUGUUAAAAAAGUGAAACAAAAGGAACAGGAUCUGAAGAAAGACUUCCGCACUGUGAAAGAGUUGGCAGCUGAGAGUGGCUUUGGUUGGGACCGUAUCGGAAUGAAAGUUGUUGCCCCAGAUGUUGUUUGGGAAUCAUUUGCGGAGCGUCGUAACACGGAUGCACUCAUAUGGAGAGACAAACACUUUCCAUAUUAUGAUGAUUUAUUUGCAUUGUAUGAAGGACGGUAUGCUGAAGGAAGGAAUAGGCGUGGCAUGGACUAUUAUGCAGAUAGGGAUAAAGAACCAUCACAAACCAAAUUUGCAGAAUCACAAGGGACCAAUGAUUAUGAUGGAUCACCCUCACCUAAUAUAAAUGCUGCUGAUUUUCCUAUUGAAGAAGAAGGUGAGAAAGACACUUCUGAUUUUCCCCAGCAGCAAUGCCCAUCAAGGCGCUCCACACAAAUGAAUUCUCAGUUUGUGAAAACACCGGAAUGUGUGGAGCAAGACCCACAAAGAGGCAGAAAAAUAGUGAUUUUCAAGAGAAGUACUUGA